AUGAACGCUGGCGGCGUGCCUAAUACAUGCAAGUCGAGCGAACAGACGAGGAGCUUGCUCCUCUGACGUUAGCGGCGGACGGGUGAGUAACACGUGGAUAACCUACCUAUAAGACUGGGAUAACUUCGGGAAACCGGAGCUAAUACUGGAUAAUAUAUUGAACCGCAUGGUUCAAUAGUGAAAGACGGUUUUGCUGUCACUUAUAGAUGGAUCCGCGCCGCAUUAGCUAGUUGGUAAGGUAACGGCUUACCAAGGCAACGAUGCGUAGCCGACCUGAGAGGGGGAUCGGCCACGCUGGAACUGAGACACGGUCCAGACUCCUACGGGAGGCAGCAGUAGGGAAUCUUCCGCAAUGGGCGAAAGCCUGACGGAGCAACGCCGCGUGAGUGAUGAAGGUCUUCGGAUCGUAAAACUCUGUUAUUGGGGAAGAACAAAUGUGUAAGUAACUAUGCACGUCUUGACGGUACCUAAUCAGAAAGCCACGGCUAACUACGU
rnacentral:rRNA from 1 species